rnacentral:lncRNA from 1 species
AGGAAGAUCUGGGUUUGAAUUAUAGUUUGGCUGCUUCCUAGCUGUUUGAUCUUGGACAAAACUUUCAUUCAUUCUAUAUUUUUUGGAGUGUCUACUCCAUGCCAAUCAUGUGUGAAAUGUUGGGAUAACAAAGGCGAAUUCAAUCUGGCUCUCGUCCUCGGAGCUUAAGCAAAUCAUCUGGGGUAGCGUGACCCAUGCUACGAUGGAGGUGGAAUACGGGGCUGCAGGGCGGGGCCACAGGACAUAGUGGGCAGCUUAACCUCCUUGAGCCUCCCUAUCCCUAAUUCACGUGAUGGGGUUUGUAACCACUUCUCACAUCGUUGAGAGAAAAGGGUGAGCCUGACUCAGAGGUGUGGCAAAGGAAGGGCAGGGCAGGCUUUAAGGACAGGGACAGGGCUGUCAGAGGCUGAGGCUAGGGAGGGGCAGGAAGGGGUGUGAGGCAGGGCGGAAGAGAGCAGGGCCCUGGGCAGGUGCUGAGCCAGGUCCUGCAGGUCACCCAGUCGCUUGAGUCCACGAAUGCUGGAGGCAGGCACUGGAGAGCCAGGGUGGUUCAGCCGCAGCUCCUCUGAGCAGGGAGUCAAACAGGGCUGAAACAGACACCAGCUCUCCAGGACCAGCUGGUAAGAGCUUCUCCACUGCCCCCGAGCCCUGACAGGAGGACUCCCACAGUGUGCAUGGAAGCCCAGGGAGCUCGGGGGCUACAGAGGCACCAUUGGCUCUGGAGCCUGCAGCCCAGACAGCCCCCUCCAGAUGUAAUGGGGGAAGGAGCCAGGGACUGGGAGGAAUUCAGAGGUCAGAGGAGGAGCAGUAUCAGGAGAUACUGCCCUCCUGCAACUCCUCCUCCCAGCUGCUCUCCCCUCCUGCUAGUGCCCACAAUGGCUCCCAGCUGCCUCCUAUAAGGAAGCUUUAUUAGCCUGCAGCCUGUACUCCUCCACGCAGCAGAGCUGACAGGACCCCAUUAGUCAGCUUAUUCAACCCUUCCCCUGGUGCACAAACCCUUGCCAAGCUUUUCUGGCAUUUUGCUCAGCCUGCUUGGACCCUCCAAGCAGGUAGGAACUCACUGUUUCACAAAGCAGUGUUAUUAGAAAGGUUUCCCUGACCCUAGCCCCCCACAUCUAAUCUUUCUCAAAUGUGGGCAGACUUGUUCCUGGCCCCUUCUCAUUCCACCAGUGCACACAUGCACAUGCUCCCUCUCUCCAUCCAAGCUCCAGGAAUCAACCUCUACCCUGAACCAGGUCCCUGAGGACCACCACGUGGCUGCAACACAGCAGGUGUGGGGCAGGGCACAAGUGGGCUUAAGGGGGGUAUAAGGGCUGGCAGUUUGCUCAUUGAUUCACUCAACAAACAUGUACUGAGCACCUCUAAAGGGCCAGGGCCUGUGCUAGGCACUGCGGUGCCAUGGUGAGCAAAUCCAGAAAUGGACCCUGCCCUCUAGGAGUUCACAGUCCAGAGGAGAAGCCCGAUGCUGAACAGAGAAUCACAUCCGUGAGCAACACAAAAGGCAAGGCAAACCCUGGGCAGAUGCCCCCGGGACUGUGUGUUAUGGGCCUACAGGAAGCCUCUCCCAAUGAAAAAGCAAUUUUUCAGCCAGAACCUCCACCAGUGUCUUUCAAACUGAGCCUGGACCUGUGGCCUUCCCUGCCUCCACCUGGGCCUCAACCGUCACGACCACCUGGCCUUUGAGAAAUCAAAUGGCUCACGCUGUGUCUCAGAGCUGCAACGAUCCAACGCCCUCCAUCCUUCAGAGGCUGUCUGAGUCCGGGGACACAACUCCCACCCUCCUCUCCUGCCAGCCGCGGCCCGUGGCUGCUCUCUUCACUUCGUCCCGCUUCGCCCCGACUGUGGAUCUACCCGCUCCCUUCUCCCUCAGUCCCCAAAGCACCAGACUCACAGGCCUGCUGUGUGACCCACUUUUACCGACCUUUCGGGGAGAGUAGAGGGCAUUUGUGACUCAGCUCAGAGCAGGAAACACAUCUCACGUCAACUGUCAGACAGCGCUGCUCCGAAUCCCAUCACAGUGCUCCAGCAGGGGGCGUCCUCACCGGCCGCGGCCACAGCCACGGCUCAACCCGGCCUAGCUCCCAGACACCCUCCUUCCACCGCCUGUUUUCCACCGUCCCCGCCUGCUCUUUCAAGCCAGCAGCAAACAACACCCUAAUCCGUGUCUUUAUUAUUCAAAGACCUUAAGCACUCUUUCCCACCUCGUUCCCAUCUUGAUUAUUUCAGGGAAUGAAUUAGGGAUUCACCUUUACAAUCAAAAAAGUUCUCUCAAAGCCAGGCUACUGGAGUUCUAAUUCUGCCUUCCCACUUUUACUAGCUGUGAAAUCUCAGGAAAGUUACUUAACCUCUCUCUGUCUCAUUUUCCUCAUCUUUAAAAAACAGGAUGAUAAUAUUUAGCUCCUAAGAUGGUUGUGAGGAUUUAAGUGAGCUGAUAUAUCCAAGAAUGUCUAGAACAGCGCGUGGCAGAAUGGGCAUUGCAUAUGGGUUUAAUCUUGUAACUGCCAUGUUUCACCAAUUCUAAGGUGUAUCUCGUUUCUCAUCAUAAGAGCUCUUCCGCUCGUGUGGCAGCUGGGAGUGGCCGUCAUUGCCUGCGCAUACCUAAACUUGGUCAGCAGCCAAGUGUUUUGUGAGACCUAAGAAAGGAAGAGCCCCAUAAGUAAAUGGAACUGUUGUGUUGUUUUAUUACCGAGAAAAGGGCAGAAUGAUUGCUAGUCACACGUGAAGCAAGAAAACCCCGGCAAUAAAGCUUGCAGAAUGAGUGGCUGAGGCUUGAAAAUAAAUGGUGGAAACAAUAGUGGACAAUCUUUUAAAGAAUGGCACAUUGCCAAUGCUCCUGAUGGCACAGAAGGUGACACCAUGCAGAAAAUCAAGGCUCUGAGUCAAAGAGGGUUUCAGAAAAAUUGGACUCUGAAUGUGAAGAAAUCUGGGGACUAUUUUAGCCAAUUUGUUUUGCCUAUAAUUUCCUUUUAUGCAUGCAAAAGAGCAAUUCUGAC